rnacentral:lncRNA from 1 species
AUGUUUUCAUAACUUCUUUAGAAUGACCUGAAAAAGUUCUUAUGUAAUUGUUUACAAAACUCUUAGAGAUACAGAAAGAAGGUGCCUACUAGAGUUGCUAAAAUUUAAUUAUUUCUUCUAGGAAAACAUCUAAUAAUACUAUGAGAGUUGGUACAGAUUAUCUAAAAUAAUACAAAAGGUUAUAUAAUAGUGUAACAUUGCCAAGAAGUGGAUUAUCUCAUCUUCAUCCUGUAAUUCCAGUGUUUGUCACAUGGUUGUUGAAUAAAUGAAUAAAGAAUGAAAAAGCCAGAAGCUCUGAUACAUAGUCAUAAUGACAAUUAUUUCAAUGCACAACUAUGGGUGGUGCUGAACUACAAUCUAUAUUUUCUGCAACUGGCUCCUCUAGGAUCUACUAAUGAUUUAAGUCUAAAAGAUGAAGUUAGUAAAGCAUCAGAAAAAAAGGUACUAACUUUUAUUUUAAAAUUCUAUAAUAUAAAAAAUUGUAAUAUUUUAUUACUGGAAUGCUUACUUGAACUUUUAAUGGUUUUUUAUUUAACAUAAAACAUAUAAAAUUUUCUUAAAAGGAUAAUAUUUUUAUAUCAUACAUGUGUGGUGAAAAUUUAUGGCUGGGCGCGGUGGUUCACACCUGUAAUCCCAGCACUUUGUGAAGCCGAGGCAGGCAGAUCACAAGGUCAGGAGAUCGAGACCACGGUGAAACCCCAUCUCUACUAAAAAUACAAAAAAUCAGCAAGCCUUGCUGGCGGGUGCCUGUAGUCCCAGCUACUCAGGAGGCUGAGUCAGAAUGGCAUGAACCCGGGAGGCAGAGCUUGCAGUGAGCCGACAUUGCACUACUGCUGCACUCCAGCCUGGGUGACAGAGCAAGACUCUGUCUCAAAAAAAUUAAUUUUUU